rnacentral:rRNA from 1 species
GCCGCGAGGCGGAGACAAAUACCGAAAAGCCGGUCUCAGUUCGGAUUGCAGGCUGCAAUUCGCCUGCAUGAAGUCGGAAUCGCUAGUAAUCGCAGGUCAGCAUACUGCGGUGAAUACGUUCCCGGGUCUU